rnacentral:rRNA from 1 species
AGAGUUUGAUCAUGGCUCAGAACGUACGCUGGCGGCGCGCCUAACACAUGCAAGUCGAACGAAGUAGCAAUACUUAGUGGCAGACGGGUGAGUAACAUGUAGGUAUCUGCCCUUUGGCCUGGAAUAACACGAGGAAACUUGUGCUAAUACCGGAUAAGUCUUUACGGAGAAAGCUUUAUGCACCAUUGGAUGAGCCUGCACUUGAUUAGUUUGUUGGUGGGGUAAUGGCCUACCAAGACUGUGAUCAAUAGCUGAUUUGAGAGGAUGAUCAGCCACAUUGGGACUGAGACACGGCCCAAACUCCUACGGGAGGCAGCAGUGGGGAAUCUUGCACAAUGGAGGAAACUCUGAUGCAGCGAUGCCGCGUGAGUGAAGAAGGCCCUUGGGUUGUAAAGCUCUUUCGUCGGGGAAGAAAAUGACUGUACCCGAAUAAGAAAGUCCGGCUAACUUCGUGCCAGCAGCCGCGGUAAUACGAAGGGACCUAGCGUAGUUCGGAAUUACUGGGCUUAAAGAGUUCGUAGGUGGUUGAAAAAGUUAGUGGUGAAAUCCCAGAGCUUAACUCUGGAACUGCCAUUAAAACUUUUCAGCUAGAGUAUGAUAGAGGAAAGCAGAAUUUCUAGUGUAGAGGUGAAAUUCGUAGAUAUUAGAAAGAAUACCAAUUGCGAAGGCAGCUUUCUGGAUCAUUACUGACACUGAGGAACGAAAGCAUGGGUAGCGAAGAGGAUUAGAUACCCUCGUAGUCCAUGCCGUAAACGAUGUGUGUUAGACGUUGGAAAUUUAUUUUCAGUGUCGCAGGGAAACCGAUAAACACACCGCCUGGGGAGUACGACCGCAAGGUUAAAACUC